rnacentral:tRNA from 2 species
GGUCCCAUCGUCUAUCGGUUAGGACACCACGCUUUCAAUGUGGGAAGCCGGGUUCGACUCCCGGUGGGACCG